GUGGGGAAUAUUGGACAAUGGGCGCAAGCCUGAUCCAGCCAUGCCGCGUGAGUGAUGAAGGCCCUAGGGUUGUAAAGCUCUUUCACCGGUGAAGAUAAUGACGGUAACCGGAGAAGAAGCCCCGGCUAACUUCGUGCCAGCAGCCGCGGUAAUACGAAGGGGGCUAGCGUUGUUCGGAAUUACUGGGCGUAAAGCGCACGUAGGCGGACAUUUAAGUCAGGGGUGAAAUCCCAGAGCUCAACUCUGGAACUGCCUUUGAUACUGGGGGUCUUGAGUAUGGAAGAGGUAAGUGGAAGUCCGAGUGUAGAGGUGAAAUUCGUAGAUAUUCGGAGGAACACCAGUGGCGAAGGCGGCUUACUGGUCCAUUACUGACGCUGAGGUGCGAAAGCGUGGGGAGCAAACAGGAUUAGAAACCCUGGUAGUCC
rnacentral:rRNA from 1 species